ACAACGUGCUUAUGGCUUAUGGGCUUUCCGGACCGUAGCAAGGUCGGUAGUCAACCCUUCUAACAUCGCCUUAAAAAACUUAAUGAAAUUAAAAACUUGAUACGGGGUGUUUUUUGGACAUAUGCACCAAUCAGCUUCUUGCAGUUUCUCGGGUAGCUCUCGCAUGACGGAAUUCGCAAAUCUGGACAGCCUCAGAAAUUUGCCCUUGCACUCAGUGUAAAGCCCUUGGAGAUCUUGAAUGAUGUGCAAGUCUUCAUCCUUGGUCACCUCUAUAUCCCUAUAGAGGUUUCUCCAAUAUCUGCAUUCACCUAGCAACAUCAUAUAGGCAACAUCCUGAUCCCCACCUUCAAGUGCCUGGAUUCUAGCAUCGGGUUGUUCCAACUGAUAUUUCAGUUGUG
rnacentral:lncRNA from 1 species